GCGAGUCUGCCUUGAGAUCGGAGUGCUUGCACUCUGUGAAACAAGAUACAGGCUAGCGGCGGACGGGUGAGUAACACGUGGGUAACCUGCCCAAGAGAUCGGGAUAACACCUGGAAACAGAUGCUAAUACCGGAUAACAACAGAUGAUGCCUAUCAACUGUUUAAAAGAUGGUUCUGCUAUCACUCUUGGAUGGACCUGCGGUGCAUUAGCUAGUUGGUAGGGUAACGGCCUACCAAGGCGAUGAUGCAUAGCCGAGUUGAGAGACUGAUCGGCCACAUUGGGACUGAGACACGGCCCAAACUCCUACGGGAGGCAGCAGUAGGGAAUCUUCCACAAUGGACGCAAGUCUGAUGGAGCAACGCCGCGUGAGUGAAGAAGGGUUUCGGCUCGUAAAGCUCUGUUGUUGGUGAAGAAGGACAGGGGUAGUAACUGACCUUUGUUUGACGGUAAUCAAUUAGAAAGUCACGGCUAACUACGUGCCAGCAGCCGCGGUAAUACGUAGGUGGCAAGCGUUGUCCGGAUUUAUUGGGCGUAAAGCGAGUGCAGGCGGUUCGAUAAGUCUGAUGUGAAAGCCUUCGGCUCAACCGGAGAAUUGCAUCAGAAACUGUCGAGCUUGAGUACAGAAGAGGAGAGUGGAACUCCAUGUGUAGCGGUGAAAUGCGUANAUAUAUGGAAGAACACCGGUGGCGAAGGCGGCUCUCUGGUCUGUUA
rnacentral:rRNA from 1 species